rnacentral:rRNA from 1 species
UGUGAAGUUACUUAAACAACCAGGAGGUUGGCUUAGAAGCAGCCAUCCUUUAAAGAAAGCGUAAUAGCUCACUGGUCUAGUGAUUUUGCGCGGAAAAUAUAACGGGGCUAAAGUAAGUACCGAAGCUGUAGACUUAGUUUACUAAGUGGUAGGAGAGCGUUCUAUUUGCGUCGAAGGUAUACCGGUAAGGAGUGCUGGAGCGAAUAGAAGUGAGCAUGCAGGCAUGAGUAGCGAUAAUUAAUGUGAGAAUCAUUAACGCCGUAAACCCAAGGUUUCCUACGCGAUGCUCGUCAUCGUAGGGUUAGUCGGGUCCUAAGUCGAGUCCGAAAGGGGUAGACGAUGGCAAAUUGGUUAAUAUUCCAAUACCAACAUUAGUGUGCGAUGGAAGGACGCUUAGGGCUAAGGGGGCUAGCGGAUGGAAGUGCUAGUCUAAGGUCGUAGGAGGUUAUACAGGCAAAUCCGUAUAACAAUACUCCGAGAACUGAAAGGCUUUUUGAAGUCUUCGGAUGGAUAGAAGAACCCCUGAUGCCGUCGAGCCAAGAAAAGUUUCUAAGUUUAGCUAAUGUUGCCCGUACCGUAAACCGACACAGGUGGGUGGGAUGAGUAUUCUAAGGCGCGUGGAAGAACUCUCUUUAAGGAACUCUGCAAAAUAGCACCGUAUCUUCGGUAUAAGGUGUGGUUAGCUUUGUAUUAGGAUUUACUCCGAAAGCAAGGAAACUUACAACAAAGAGUCCCUCCCGACUGUUUACCAAAAACACAGCACUCUGCUAACUCGUAAGAGGAUGUAUAGGGUGUGACGCCUGCCCGGUGCUCGAAGGUUAAUUGAUGGGGUUAGCAUUAGCGAAGCUCUUGAUCGAAGCCCGAGUAAACGGCGGCCGUAACUAUAACGGUCCUAAGGUAGCGAAAUUCCUUGUCGGUUAAAUACCGACCUGCAUGAAUGGCGUAACGAGAUGGGAGCUGUCUCAAAGAGGGAUCCAGUGAAAUUGUAGUGGAGGUGAAAAUUCCUCCUACCCGCGGCAAGACGGAAAGACCCCGUGGACCUUUACUACAGCUUGACACUGCUACUUGGAUAAGAAUGUGCAGGAUAGGUGGGAGGCUUUGAGUAUAUGACGCCAGUUGUAUAUGAGCCAUUGUUGAGAUACCACUCUUUCUUAUUUGGGUAGCUAACCAGCUUGAGUUAUCCUCAAGUGGGACAAUGUCUGGUGGGUAGUUUGACUGGGGCGGUCGCCUCCCAAAUAAUAACGGAGGCUUACAAAGGUUGGCUCAGAACGGUUGGAAAUCGUUCGUAGAGUAUAAAGGUAUAAGCCAGCUUAACUGCAAGACAUACAAGUCAAGCAGAGACGAAAGUCGGUCUUAGUGAUCCGGUGGUUCUGUGUGGAAGGGCCAUCGCUCAAAGGAUAAAAGGUACCCCGGGGAUAACAGGCUGAUCUCCCCCAAGAGCUCACAUCGACGGGGAGGUUUGGCACCUCGAUGUCGGCUCAUCGCAUCCUGGGGCUGGAGCAGGUCCCAAGGGUAUGGCUGUUCGCCAUUUAAAGCGGUACGCGAGCUGGGUUCAGAACGUCGUGAGACAGUUCGGUCCCUAUCUGCCGUGGGCGUAAGAAGAUUGAAGAGAUUUGACCCUAGUACGAGAGGACCGGGUUGAACAAACCACUGGUGUAGCUGUUGUUCUGCCAAGAGCAUCGCAGCGUAGCUAAGUUUGGAAAGGAUAAACGCUGAAAGCAUCUAAGCGUGAAGCCAACUCUAAGAUGAAUCUUCUCUAAGCUCUCUAGAAGACUACUAGUUUGAUAGGCUGGGUGUGUAAUGGAUGAAAGUCCUUUAGCUGACCAGUACUAAUAGAGCGUUUG